GCUGGGUAUGGUGGUGCACACCUGUAGUCCCAGCUACUUGGAGGCUGAGGCAGGAGAAACGCUUGAGCCUGGGAGGUCGAGGCUGCAGUGAGCCGUGAUAGCAACACUGCACUCCAGCCUGGGUGACAGAGUGAGACUCUGCCUCAA
ensembl:misc_RNA Metazoa_SRP Metazoan signal recognition particle RNA